CCGACCGAAAACCGUGUGCGAGUUGUGAAGGGCUGGACGCUCGGGGUNACGAGUUCUAUCGGGUAAAGCCAAUGAUUAGAGGCAUCGGGGGCGCAACGCCCUCGACCUAUUCUCAAACUUUAAAUAGGUAGGACGGCGCGGCUGCUCCGGUGAGCCGCGCCACGGAAUCGGGAGCUCCAAGUGGGCCAUUUUUGGUAAGCAGAACUGGCGAUGCGGGAUGAACCGGAAGCCUGGUUACGGUGCCCAACUGCGCGCUAACCUAGAACCCACAAAGGGUGUUGGUUGAUUAAGACAGCAGGACGGUGGUCAUGGAAGUCGAAAUCCGCUAAGGAGUGUGUAACAACUCACACUAGCCCCGAAAACGGAUGGCGCUGAAGCGCGCGACCCACACUAGGCCAUCUGGGCGAGCGCCAUGCCCCGAUGAGUAGGAGGGCGCGGCGACCGCCACAAAACCCGGGGCGCGAGCUCGGGCGGAGCGGCCGUCGGUG
rnacentral:ncRNA from 1 species